CCUACGGGCGGCAGCAGUGGGGAAUAUUGCACAAUGGGGGAAACCCUGAUGCAGCAACGCCGCGUGAGUGAAGAAGUAUUUCGGUAUGUAAAGCUCUAUCAGCAGGGAAGAAAAUGACAGUACCUGACUAAGAAGCCCCGGCUAACUACGUGCCAGCAGCCGCGGUAAUACGUAGGGGGCAAGCGUUAUCCGGAUUUACUGGGUGUAAAGGGAGCGUAGACGGAUGCGCAAGUCAGAAGUGAAAGCCCGGGGCUCAACCGCGGGACUGCUUUUGAAACUGUGUAGCUGGAGUGCAGGAGAGGUAAGUGGAAUUCCUAGUGUAGCGGUGAAAUGCGUAGAGAUUAGGAGGAACACCGGUGGCGAAGGCGGCUUACUGGACUGUAACUGACGUUGAGGCUCGAAAGCGUGGGGAGCAAACAGGAUUAGAUACCCCAGUAGUC
rnacentral:rRNA from 1 species